UCACUGCUUUUUCUCAUUUCUAGUACCACCUUGUGUUAUCUAGUUUAUAUUUUAGGACCUGAUCUUGAUUUCUCUGAGUUGGGAAAUUUUCUAUUGAAGUAGCAGAAGCCAUAGUUCAGAAAGCUGCAUUAGGAAAUAUAGGUAAAUUAAUAUGAAGCUUUGUUAUUACAGGAUGUAAAAAACCUUCACCUGAAAGUCAUGUUUGGGUAAGAUUUAUAUCUAGAUCUCCGAUCACUUGUUUCCUUGAAAAUCGACAAUUUAUUGUAAAUUCGACAACCUUAUUUUGAUCUUGAUUUGUAAAUUCGACAACCUCAUCACAAAUUCGACAACCUUAUCUUAAUUUUUAUCUGCAAAAUCAACAACCUUAUCACAACAAUCUGAUCCCAUUUUCAAAAUCGGUCUUAUCUAUAAAAAAUCUCUAAUCUGGAAAAUUGAUCUUAUCUGAAAAUCGUUUUCAUUUAAAAAUCACUCUCAUUUCGAAAUUGUUAUCGUAGUUGUAGAUCUGAACAAGCAUUUAGUUGUAAACCUUAAUAUGCAACUAGUUAUAUCAAUGAACAUGUAAGUAAUUAUAUACAUGAACAUACAAGUAAUUAUAAACAUAAAUAUACAAUUAGUUGUAGACCUGAACAUGCGAUGAUUCUUGACAAAGAGGAGAAUCGUCGGAGAAGAAAACAUC
rnacentral:lncRNA from 1 species